GAUGAACGCUGGCGGCGUGCUUAACACAUGCAAGUCGAGCGAAGCACUUAGGAAAGAUUCUUCGGAUGAUUUCCUAUUUGACUGAGCGGCGGACGGGUGAGUAACGCGUGGGUAACCUGCCUCAUACAGGGGGAUAACAGUUAGAAAUGACUGCUAAUACCGCAUAAGACCACAGCACUGCAUGGUGCAGGGGUAAAAACUCCGGUGGUAUGAGAUGGACCCGCGUCUGAUUAGUUAGUUGGUGGGGUAACGGCCUACCAAGGCGACGAUCAGUAGCCGACCUGAGAGGGUGACCGGCCACAUUGGGACUGAGACACGGCCCAAACUCCUACGGGAGGCAGCAGUGGGGAAUAUUGCACAAUGGGGGAAACCCUGAUGCAGCGACGCCGCGUGAGCGAAGAAGUAUUUCGGUAUGUAAAGCUCUAUCAGCAGGGAAGAAAAUGACGG
rnacentral:rRNA from 1 species